AACAAAUUAUUUUUGGCGCCCGAUCUAUUUAGACUCUGUUCUGUCUCUCACACACACAGACACACGACCAAAAAUAUAUUCACCCUCACCAUCCCUGCUAACAGUUACCAUCAAACUUCCACCACCGACAUCGCUGCUCUCGCUACCGCCGCUCACCAUUGCGGCUCUCGCCACCGUCGCUCACCAUCGCGGCCCCCCUCCCAGCCAUAUUCAGGUUCAUGAAGGUGUUGUAGAAGAUGUAGCAUGGCAUCUGAGGCAUGAAUACUUGCUUGGUUCAGUUGGGGAUGAUCAGUAUCUGCAUAUAUGAGAUCUCCGGACUCCAUCAGUCACCAAGCCAAUUCAAUCUGUAAUUGCUCAUCAAAGUGAGUUUUUGGGUGGAUGGGUUAUAUUCGUAGAGUAGGCUAGACCAAGACCACAACCUACUCAGUUCAAGAACAAUGCUGGAUCACCACCUCCUGGAUAUGGGUCUUCAUAUGGUCGUCAAUGAAUUAUUAGUGGAAGAAGCUGGUCAUUUUAAAGAUAUCAGAUUGUUUUGACAGCAAUUAUGCUUACUCUCAGUUCUCUAUUUUGACUUGCUGAGAGCCGAGUCUAGCCUUAUAUGAAUUUGAGCAGAGAUUGAAUUGAGAAAUAUAGACUUGAAUUGCUGCAUGUUAAGACAUUUUUGUGUAAACUAUUUGCAUCUGCUAUUCAUGAAUAUCCUGUGACAAUUUAUACUAAUGAGACUGUAUUAAGACACUUCAAAUUUAUGCAUGUUGGGACCUC